GUGGGGAAUAUUGGACAAUGGGCGAAAGCCUGAUCCAGCCAUGCCGCGUGUGUGAAGAAGGUCUUCGGAUUGUAAAGCACUUUAAGUUGGGAGGAAGGGCAGUAAGUUAAUACCUUGCUGUUUUGACGUUACCGACAGAAUAAGCACCGGCUAACUUCGUGCCAGCAGCCGCGGUAAUACGAAGGGUGCAAGCGUUAAUCGGAAUUACUGGGCGUAAAGCGCGCGUAGGUGGUUUUGUAAGUUGGAGGUGAAAUCCCCGGGCUCAACCUGGGAACUGCCUCCAAAACUGCAUGACUAGAGUACGGUAGAGGGUAGUGGAAUUUCCUGUGUAGCGGUGAAAUGCGUAGAUAUAGGAAGGAACACCAGUGGUGAAGGCGACUACCUGGACUGAUACUGACACUGAGGUGCGAAAGCGUGGGGAGCAAACAGGAUUAGAUACCCCUGUAGUCC
rnacentral:rRNA from 1 species